UACGUAGGGUGCAAGCGUUGUCCGGAAUUAUUGGGCGUAAAGAGCUCGUAGGCGGUUUGUCGCGUCUGCUGUGAAAACCUAAGGCUCAACCUUGGGCUUGCAGUGGGUACGGGCAGACUAGAGUUCGGUAGGGGAGACUGGAAUUCCUGGUGUAGCGGUGAAAUCGCAGAUAUCAGGAGGAACACCGGUGGCGAAGGCGGGC
rnacentral:rRNA from 1 species